rnacentral:rRNA from 1 species
GAAUGCUGACAUAAGUAACGAUAAAGCGGGUGAAAAGCCCGCUCGCCGGAAGACCAAGGGUUCCUGUCCAACGUUAAUCGGGGCAGGGUGAGUCGACCCCUAAGGCGAGGCCGAAAGGCGUAGUCGAUGGGAAACAGGUUAAUAUUCCUGUACUUGGUGUUACUGCGAAGGGGGGACGGAGAAGGCUAUGUUAGCCGGGCGACGGUUGUCCCGGUUUAAGCAUGUAGGCUGGUUGU